rnacentral:rRNA from 1 species
CUGUGCCGCAUGGUGUGGGUUGGAAAGUUUUUCGGUGAGGGAUGGGCUCGCGGCCUAUCAGCUUGCUGGUGGGGUAAUGGCCUACCAAGGCGUCGACGGGUAGCCGGCCUGAGAGGGCGACCGGCCACACUGGGACUGAGACACGGCCCAGACUCCUACGGGAGGCAGCAGUGGGGAAUAUUGCACAAUGGGCGAAAGCCUGAUGCAGCGACGCCGCGUGGAGGAUGACGGCCUUCGGGUUGUAAACUCCUUUCAGCAGGGAAGAAGCGCAAGUGACGGUACCUGCAGAAGAAGCACCGGCUAACUACGUG